AUGAUAACCAGGGCCACCAACAAGGACCUUAAGGAUAGUUUACCGAAGGAACAUUUCUCCACGCGAGCUGCAAAUUCAGAUCAAGCCUGGGAGAGAGAAUUCUGUGCUUCAGGUCGAUGCGGACCGCGCGUCACAUUCUCAAGUUGGUUGAUGCCUUUGACUGUUGCUCGCCCCAUUCUGAAGAUGUGGAUGGCUGGCAACAGCAACACGGAGUGCUCGCUCGACAGGCGAGCUGCUUCACAUGCUCCCGGCCUUGUGCUCCUCAACAGCUUCCGUGGUACUGAAACCAAAUCCUGCUUACGGAUGGUACCAAAGGCUCGCUGUUUGUCAAGGGUCCUACCAAAAAGGUCAAGUUCACCACAAACGCACAUUCGUUCCCUCGUCCUGUUUUAUGUACGUGAGCAUCAGCAAUCGAAUCUGUUGCCAAGUAUAGCAGCUGCGCCAAAGGAAAAUACACAGGAGCACCUGCAUGCUCCACCCCUGUACGAAAAUUAA
rnacentral:rRNA from 1 species